rnacentral:rRNA from 1 species
UACGUAGGGUGCGAGCGUUGUCCGGAAUUAUUGGGCGUAAAGAGCUUGUAGGCGGUCUGUCGCGUCUGCUGUGAAAAUCCGGGGCUCAACCCCGGACUUGCAGUGGGUACGGGCAGACUAGAGUGUGGUAGGGGAGACUGGAAUUCCUGGUGUAGCGGUGAAAUGCGCAGAUAUCAGGAGGAACACCGAUGGCGAAGGCAGGUCUCUGGACAGUUCCUGACGCUGAGACACGAAAGCCAGGGGAGCAAACGGG